UACAGAGGGUGCAAGCGUUGUUCGGAAUUAUUGGGCGUAAAGCGCGUGUAGGCGGCUUUGCAAGUCGGGUGUGAAAGCCCCCAGCUUAACUGGGGAAGUGCGCUCGAAACUGCAGAGCUUGAGUACCGGAGAGGAUGGCGGAAUUCCCCAAGUAGAGGUGAAAUUCGUAGAUAUGGGGAGGAACACCGGUGGCGAAGGCGGCCAUCUGGACGGAUACUGACGCUGAGACGCGAAAGCGUGGGUAGCAAACAGG
rnacentral:rRNA from 1 species